rnacentral:lncRNA from 1 species
UUUUUCAUGCCUCACACACUAGGUCUUGUUUUCCCUGAAUAGGGUGAGAGCUGGAGAUACAGGCUUGGAGAAGAUGAGAAAGGUUGAAUUGAUCUACAUAAGAGAGGUCAUCAAGACAGAUACCUGGAGCAAUAACAACAACAGCAACCACGACAACAAUUUGAAAGGCAGGGAGAGACUUAGAGAAGGUUGGCCAAAGUAAGAGAGAGUAGAAAACGGUGACUUGGCUUGGGAAUGUUUGGAGGCAGAGGGCAGGAGGAGUUGGGGACAGCCGCUAUACAAUAUUUUGCAGGGAGAGAGAUAUCUAAGCAGGCUUUCCAGAAGUGUCUCUUUAUGUUAUAAGAAGUAAGUUCCACCUCACCUACACUCCACAGCUCCCAGGACACUUCCAUAAAAAACAUGCAUUGUUUUUCAGUGCUUUUCUUAUAUUGGAUUUUGUUUCCUCAGAUGCUGUGCCAUGCUGUGCUCCUACCUUCGAGGCAGGGGGAAAGAUCCUGUUUGUUUUUGUGUGGACUGUCAACCAGGAAUUGGAACCUAAGUACCCAACCAUACCUUUGUUUAAAUCGUCAACAUAGAACUGGGUCAAGAGAGCAAUUUCACCAUAACUGCUGGACCUACAGUGUGGAAGAGCUUAGGCAGUAACAAGCACAAUUUGGGAUGUCCCUUGGAGUCCACCUCAAAGUAGAAGGGAAAGCGAGGAAACUACUCUGAAUUCAGAAUGGCAUGUUUGGGAGAAUGCACGAACUUCAGGGAACAUAUUCAGUAAGAAACCCAGCACUGCUCAUGACUUGGGACAAUGGAUAUAUCCUUGUGCAGUCUGGCAUGAUUGUGGUGACAAGAAACACCUGGUGGCAGAUUGUCUUCAAGAGGAAAGAACUCUGUGAAAAUCCAUCUUUCUCCUCUAGCACAUGGCUUAGACUCUGGGACCAGGGGAAUUACCUGCACAGCAUGUCCUGGAACCUUCCACAGCGUGCCCUUCCCAGGACAGCCAUCCAAGGCUGAUGUGUUAACUUAUUGAAAUUUGUAUUUAUUAAAUGUGAAAAUUGUUUGAAUAUCUUGGAUUGGGAUGAAAUGCACAUAUUUUUGUCCUUAAAAUUUAGUACUUAAAAAAAUUAACAGCUUUCUACUUGCUGGUGGGGUUUUUGAGAAGAAAACAAUCAAUGAUUUUAAGAGAGCGAUACUUUUACCAAGGUUUUUCUCCAAAUAGAAAUGUGGUACCUUUAGUUUCCUGAUGCCAAAAGCACAUGAGGCUGUUGAGAGAGCCACUUCUGUCCUGGGUGCAACCUACCCCAGCCCCAGCCAUGGACUUGUUAGAAACUUGAGAAAGAUGACGCUUCUCUGAGGAUUAGAUCUUAGGAACAGAUAGAGAUGUCUAAAGUGUAUUUCCUGAAAGUCUUGCUGGGUGAUGUACAACAUAAACACUCUCUUCACUCCUCAUGAAAGAAUCUUAGAAAAAGAUGAGUUCUUGAUGAUCUUUAGAAGGUCUAUUUUGUAUUUCGUCUGGAUGCUACACAAUGGGGAGACUGGCAUCAAGGCUGGACCCAGAAGGCCCAGUUUCAUGCCGUUAGGAUAUCUAAGCAUAUCAAAUCCAUACAUUCAUAUGUAAAGACAUAGUAAGCUUUGUGGUUGCGACAGCGGUCCUCGUGGAGACUAGACUGUAAUUCAGACAUGGACAAGGCAAAAUCAAUCUUUUUUUUUUCUUUUUUGCAGUAGAAGUCUUAUCAAGGUAGAUCGUACAUGAGUUCCUACUGGCAGGUGAGAGAGGUGAGAUCUGGAGAGGGGACUUCUCUCUCUCCUGUUUGGACUAACCCUACUCCCUGAACUAUUUCAUGAGCCCUGUAGAGAGCAAGCAAUAGGCAAAGUCAAGGAGUCUUCACAGGAGCUUGGUGAAACCAGAAACAAAAGCAAGAUUGUUCAUGCAGGAUGGAGGAAGACUCUCUCCUCUUGGCCGCAGCUCUGAGUGUGAUACUGCUUUGACAUUGUGAGGGUUUGCACUGGGUGACCUCAAAGGACCAGCAAAGGGCUGGUGCAAGUCUAUCAGCACUGCCUGCAUGACCAGCCACCAUUGGUGUACAUCAUGGACUGCACCUGUGUGUACACCAACAUGGGGCCUGAGGGAAGACAUGCAUUUAGAGACCUCAAGCAAUUCCUUUUGAGUUGAGGGACUUUGAGAAGAGGUGAGGUGUGUCUAUGGUACGUGG